rnacentral:rRNA from 1 species
CCUACGGGUGGCAGCAGUGAGGAAUAUUGGUCAAUGGACGAGAGUCUGAACCAGCCAAGUAGCGUGAAGGAUGACUGCCCUAUGGGUUGUAAACUUCUUUUAUAUGGGAAUAAAAUGUUCCACGUGUGGGAUUGUGUAUGUACCAUAUGAAUAAGGAUCGGCUAACUCCGUGCCAGCAGCCGCGGUAAUACGGAGGAUGCGAGCGUUAUCCGGAUUUAUUGGGGUUAAAGGGUGCGUAGGCGGAAUGCCAAGUCAGCGGUAAAAUCGCGGGGCGCAACCUCGCUCCGCCGUUGAAACUGGCGUUCUUGAGUGGGCGGAGAGUCUGCGGAAUGCGUGGUAAAGCGGUGAACAGCAUAGCUAGCACGCAGAACUCCGAUUGCGAAGGCAGCAUACCG